UACGUAGGGGGCGAGCGUUGUCCGGAAUCAUUGGGCGUAAAGAGCGUGUAGGCGGCUUGGCAAGUCUGACGUGAAAGCCCGCGGCUCAACCGCGGAUUGUCGUUGGAAACUGCCUCGCUAUAGUCCGGAAGAGGAGAGCGGAAUUCCUGGUGUAGCGGUGGAAUGCGCAGAUAUCAGGAAGAACACCCGUGGCGAAGGCGGCUCUCUGGGACGGUACUGACGCUGAGACGCGAAAGCGUGGGGAGCGAACAGG
rnacentral:rRNA from 1 species